rnacentral:rRNA from 1 species
GUGGGGGAUAUUGCACAAUGGGCGCAAGCCUGAUGCAGCGACGCCGCGUGAGGGAUGACGGCUUUCGGGUUGUAAACCUCUUUCGCUACCGAACAAGGCUCCAUAUUGGUGGGGUUGAGGGUAGGUGGAUAAGAAGCGCCGGCUAACUACGUGCCAGCAGCCGCGGUAAUACGUAGGGCGCGAGCGUUGUCCGGAAUUAUUGGGCGUAAAGAGCUCGUAGGCGGCUUGUCGCGUCUGCUGUGAAAACGCGGGGCUUAACUCCGCGCGUGCAGUGGGUACGGGCAGGCUAGAGUGUGGUAGGGGUGACUGGAAUUCCUGGUGUAGCGGUGGAAUGCGCAGAUAUCAGGAGGAACACCGAUGGCGAAGGCAGGUCACUGGGCCAUUACUGACGCUGAGGAGCGAAAGCAUGGGGAGCGAACAGGAUUAGAAACCCCUGUAGUCC